rnacentral:rRNA from 1 species
GACGAACGCUGGCGGCGUGCUUAACACAUGCAAGUCGAACGGAAAGGCCUCUUUCGGGGGGUACUCGAGUGGCGAACGGGUGAGUAACACGUGAGUAACCUGCCCUUGACUUUGGGAUAACUUCAGGAAACUGGGGCUAAUACCGGAUAGGAGCUCCUGCUGCAUGGUGGGGGUUGGAAAGUUUCGGCGGUUGGGGAUGGACUCGCGGCUUAUCAGCUUGUUGGUGGGGUAGUGGCUUACCAAGGCUUUGACGGGUAGCCGGCCUGAGAGGGUGACCGGCCACAUUGGGACUGAGCUACGGCCCAGACUCCUACGGGAGGCAGCAGUGGGGAAUAUUGCACAAUGGGUGGAAGCCUGAUGCAGCAACGCCGUGUGCGGGAUGACGGCCUUCGGGUUGUAAACCGCUUUCGCUCAUGACGAAGCUUUGUGUGACGGUAGUGGGUAAAGAAGCACCGGCUAACUACGUG